rnacentral:rRNA from 1 species
GAUGAACGCUAGCUACAGGCUUAACACACGCAAGUCGAGGGGUAACGAGAGGAAAGCUUGCUUUCCUUGUCGACGACCGGCGCGCGGGUGAGUAACGCGUAUCCAACCUGCCCCCAACUAGGGAAUAACCUUGCGAAAGUAAGAUUAAUACCCUAUAAUUUCCUCAGAUGCCAUCUGACGAGGAAUAAAGAUUUAUCGGUUGUGGAUGGGGAUGCGUCUGAUUAGCUUGUUGGCGGGGUAACGGCCCACCAAGGCAACGAUCAGUAGGGGUUCUGAGAGGAAGGUCCCCCACAUUGGAACUGAGACACGGUCCAAACUCCUACGGGAGGCAGCAGUGAGGAAUAUUGGUCAAUGGGCGGAAGCCUGAACCAGCCAAGUAGCGUGCAGGAUGACGGCCCUAUGGGUUGUAAACUGCUUUUAUACAGGAAUAAAGUUAGCCACGUGUGGUUAUUUGUAGGUACUGUAUGAAUAAGGACCGGCUAAUUCCGUGCCAGCCGCCGCGGUAA